AGAGUUUGAUCCUGGCUCAGAGCGAACGCUGGCGGCAGGCCUAACACAUGCAAGUCGAACGAACUCUUCGGAGUUAGUGGCGGACGGGUGAGUAACACGUGGGAACGUGCCUUUAGGUUCGGAAUAACUCAGGGAAACUUGUGCUAAUACCGAAUGUGCCCUUCGGGGGAAAGAUUUAUCGCCUUUAGAGCGGCCCGCGUCUGAUUAGCUAGUUGGUGAGGUAAUGGCUCACCAAGGCGACGAUCAGUAGCUGGUCUGAGAGGAUGACCAGCCACAUUGGGACUGAGACACGGCCCAAACUCCUACGGGAGGCAGCAGUGGGGAAUCUUGCGCAAUGGGCGAAAGCCUGACGCAGCCAUGCCGCGUGAAUGAUGAAGGUCUUAGGAUUGUAAAAUUCUUUCACCGGGGACGAUAAUGACGGUACCCGGAGAAGAAGCCCCGGCUAACUUCGUG
rnacentral:rRNA from 1 species